ACAUGUUUCAAUUCUUUGGAAUUGAAAUUGAAAAUUAGUUCAAUAAGAAAGUCAAGUAAUUUCAUUUUGUUAUAAGGCACAAAAUAUGAUUCCCACAUUUUUUAAUGAGAAUGAAAUUAUACAUGAAACAACUACAACUUACUCUUUUGAGUUGAACGGUAAAGAAAAAUAAAAUAAAAAUAAAGAACCUUUUGCCGAGCUAGUUGUUACAGUCAUGUUUAAUUUCGGCAUUGCGUCUCAUUAGUGGGGGAAUUCAAUUAAUUGAUUGUUUUUUGCUAAAUAGAGUGCCUAAGUGCAAGAACAAAAUUCACUUGUGAAAUUUUGUAGAAAAGACAAUUUAACUUGUCUUAUUUUUUGAACUUG
rnacentral:lncRNA from 1 species